UGACCCAGCCCAUGCCUUAUCUUCACUCUGUUUCUAUCCACAGCACUGCCUAUUAGAUACCUCUCUUACAUAACAGAAAUUCCCACUUGCCCUAACAAAUACUGUAGCAUCCCUAGGGUGAUGGAGAAAAGAGGAAAUGAAAACCAACCAAACAUCCCAUAAUUCAAUACUCUAUAUAACAAAUGUACAAGUUUUACUUAUUACUAAAUGCCACACAGUAACUUUGUGCCAUGGGUAUAGUAGAGAGCUUAGGGUUUCUGAAUGCAUCCUACUAACUUCAAGAAGACUGCGUCAAGUAUCACUGUAGAGUUUAUUCUGGAAAGAGAGAAGGAAUAAGGAAGUAUUUUCUGGCACAGCACCUACAUAGCUUUCCUGUGAUAUCCCAUUUGAAACUGAAAACAAGUUGAAUGACGAGAAACACAAGUGACCACAGCUUCAGAGACGCUGUAUUCUCGCCCUGAGAAACAGCAAUUCACUCUGCUAAAGCUUGCAAACGGACAACACCUUGGAAGGAGACCACCGGGAGAAAAAAAACGCCCUGAUAAACUAUCAGCAUCUCUGCUCCAAACAGACUCCUGGGUUAAAUCAUACACUUGUGCCAAAAGAAAGGAAUGGCUCUUGGUGUUUCUGAUCAGAGAGAAGAAAAAUGCUGUUGAGCAUUUCAAUAAAUAUGAAAUAGACAAAGGGAACAUGUUGAUCAUACCUAAAAUACUUGUGGGUAUUCUGACCUUAAAAUCAGAAUGGAGCAAUUCUAAAAGAAACACCAAAAGGCCGACUUCUCAAAG
ensembl:lncRNA